rnacentral:tRNA from 4 species
AGUUAGAAAGCGAAUUAUUGCACUUAGUUUCGACCUAAAUUUUGGCUUAGGCCUCUAAUUA